AGGGAAACCGAGUCUUAACCGGGCGUUAAGUUGCAGGGUAUAGACCCGAAACCCGGUGAUCUAGCCAUGGGCAGGUUGAAGGUUGGGUAACACUAACUGGAGGACCGAACCGACUAAUGUUGAAAAAUUAGCGGAUGACCUGUGGCUGGGGGUGAAAGGCCAAUCAAACCGGGAGAUAGCUGGUUCUCCCCGAAAGCUAUUUAGGUAGCGCCUCGUGAAUUCAUCUCCGGGGGUAGAGCACUGUUUCGGCUAGGGGGCCAUCCCGGCUUACCAACCCGAUGCAAACUGCGAAUACCGGAGAAUGUUAUCACGGGAGACACACGGCGGGUGCUAACGUCCGUCGUGAAGAGGGAAACAACCCAGACCGCCAGCUAAGGUCCCAAAGUCAUGGUUAAGUGGGAAACGAUGUGGGAAGGCCCAGACAGCCAGGAUGUUGGCUUAGAAGCAGCCAUCAUUUAAAGAAAGCGUAAUAGCUCACUGGUCGAGUCGGCCUGCGCGGAAGAUGUAACGGGGCUAAACCAUGCACCGAAGCUGCGGCAGCGAC
rnacentral:rRNA from 2 species